AGCAAAAACACACACACACACACAUUGUGAUGUUUUUGAUAUUUUUUAUAUUUUUGAUAUUUUUCUUCUUUUGCAAAUGAUGAAUAAAAAAAAUAAUUUAACUUUCGUUCUUCUGUAUGUUGAAGAU